rnacentral:rRNA from 1 species
AUUGAACGCUGGCGGCAUGCCUUACACAUGCAAGUCGAACGGCAGCACGGGAGCAAUCCUGGUGGCGAGUGGCGAACGGGUGAGUAAAGUAUCGGAACGUGCCCAGUCGUGGGGGAUAACGUAGCGAAAGUUACGCUAAUACCGCAUACGAUCUAUGGAUGAAAGCGGGGGAUCGCAAGACCUCGCGCGAUUGGAGCGGCCGAUAUCAGAUUAGGUAGUUGGUGGGGUAAAGGCUCACCAAGCCGACGAUAUGGAGCGGGUCUGAGAGGACAACCAGCCACACUGGGACUGAGACACGGCCCAGAUUCCUACGGGAGGCAGCAGUGGGGAAUUUUGGACAAUGGGCGAAAGCCUGAUCCAGCCAUGCCGCGUGCAGGAUGAAGGCCUUCGGGUUGUAAACUGCUUGUGUACGGAACGAAAAGGUUUGGGCUAAUAAGCUGAGCUCAUGACGGUACCGUAAGAAUAAGCACCGGCUAACUACGUGCCAGCCGCCGCCGUAA